rnacentral:misc_RNA from 1 species
GUUGACAUUACCAUUUUUGCGACAUACCUCAAAGCGAUUUGGCAGUUUUCUAAACAUGGCGGCCGUGGCUAACCAAGGCCGGGGUUAUGUUAGAAGAAUUCGAGUACGGCAUGAAAGCGGAGAAGAAGUUGUGCGAUUGAAAUUUGAUAGAGACCCUGCAGAAAAUGUGAAAGAGAUCCUGACUCAUGUGGUGGUGCAACAUGGUGUCAGCAAAGCUCGAAAGCUUGCGUACUUGAACAGUUUUGUAAAACUCAUUCACAAACAGGCAGAGGAGCGGGGACUUGGAGUUGGCAGCAUAGAGAUCCUAGCUUGUCUUCAGAUUGGUUUGCUGCAUGAGGCAAAAGAAGUCCGAGCAGCCACUUUACGGGUGUUGCGGCACUUGCUACAGGCAGAUGACAUGCUCAGCUCCUUUCUAGCAUUGCGUAUGGACUAUUUGGUUAUGAGGAGUCUAGAUGUCUGCCUUGACAACGAGAUUGAACGCAUUCAUGCCAUCAAGCUGAUACGGCAGUUGAACACUGUUGCACCUGAAAAACUGCCUCGUUCCUUGCUUUUUUCCAUUGUUGCUAUUGGUAACAAUGGUGCUAGUGAGAGGGACCAGUUUGUCAGGGUGUGUUUGGCAACACUCUGCGAGAUAGCUUUCCGCAAUGUGGAUCUGGUAUCAAAGUGUGGUGGGAUCAGCACGUUACUAUGGAACAUUCUAGAUUGUCAUCAGUUUCCACGUCUUAAUGAGUCCUUGACCUGCACUGUUCUCUAUCUUAUGAAUCAUCCUCGCAGCCGUGUGUACAUUCGAGCCAACACUGAUCUGGAGCAACUUCUGGCACCACUAACAGAUAGCCAUUUUCGCUACAGUGGUGAGUCAUCUGAUCAAACUAGAAGUGAUGACCGCGAAACGAGGUUCAUUGCCAGCAAAAUGGCUGCCAUCACAUUGAUGCAAUCUUGGCCAGGCCUUAUACGCUUGUGCCACCCUGAAGGAUCAGGUUUGCAGUCUUUGAUUGGAAUUCUUUAUUUACCAUAUAUCGAGAUAAGGAAAUAUAUUCUGGAAUUAAUAUCAGAUUUGUUUCGCUUGCCACUUCCGGACUGGACAGAUGACUUUCAUGCAGCCUUGCUGAGUGUAGACCCAUGUGAAAUGAAAGAUUCUUGGAAACUGUCUGAAGGUUUUGUGGCAGAGGAAGGUCGAUCACUUCUGCCUCAUUGUGCAGCUACCAGACCUAAUCUGAUAGACAACCACCUCGCUCUUCUAUUGAGUGCCUGGAUCAGUGCUGGAGUACUAGAGGCAUUGAUAGAAGUGAUCACAACAAGUGAGGGAGCUCUAUUUGUGCGAGCAGUCAUUCUCUUGGGUGAACUGCUGUAUGUGGCCAAUGCAUUACUGCCAUCCGAGUGCUGCAGUCACAGUCACUGUCUGCCUUCUCUCCUGUCCCUGGCUUCUAUGCACAACACCUCUGACAUCAAGCAACAACGAGCUUCUGUGGCCAUGCAACAUCUCAGCUCAUUUCACACCAUGAAGAAACGAGGGUUUGUGCCCUGUAGCCUUUUUCUAGACCAGUUGCUUCAUUUUUCUGGCAAGUUUAUGGAGAUCUCCAGUCGUCGCUGGCACCUGCAAAGGGAAAAACUGUCAGAAUACUACUUUAAAAAAAUGCAAAAUGAUGAGCACAUACAGCGCGUUCUGCGAGACAGUUUGGUGUUACAGACAAAAGAAAACGCCAAGUGGCAGUGGGAUCUGAUAUGUUGUAUUCUUAAGUGGCCAGAUGAAAGAUUGAGAAAGCUUGAGGACCAGACUUAUGUCAGAUUUUUGCGGCGGUUACUUUUCUUCUUCAAGCCCACCAACCAUUUGUUUUCUCACAUGAAAAUCAAUUCUGAACUGGGCCAUAAAAUAUGUCUUGUGGGCUGCUACUUUGUUGAGUUCCUUGUCAGUGUGUCACAGGAGGAGACCCAAAAGAUGAUCACAGAACUUUUGAUAGACAUUGCCCAAUGCUUGACAGAGGUAUCAACCCAACGAGCUGUACCAGAGUCAGUGUUUGGAGCAAACAGCAUCUAUGACACCCUUAGCCAGUACUACUUUCUCUUUUUGGGAUGCUUUUCUACUACCAGGAAUGGUACAGUCCACUUGGAAAAGACAGGAGUCUUUCAGAGUCUGCUGGAGAUCAUGUCGCCCAUGGCACAGGAGAUGUAUGUCAAGCUGAUAGUGUCUUCUCUCAGCUACAGUUGUCAUGGUUCAGCACAGGCUGUGUUGUCCAAAGCUCUGACAUCUACACCUGAGAACUGCCGCCUGUAUGCCACAAGACUUCUGCGUGUGCUUCUUCGUUCUGGGAUGCAGGGUUUCAACACAUGGGGCUUAGAGCUUCUAGUGACGCAGCUGUAUGACCAGAGCAAAUCUGUUGCCAUGGCUGCCCUUACCAUCUUGGAUGAAGCCUGCGAUAUAGAGGUCAACCUUCAACAGUUAAUACGGCUCAGGCCCUCACUGCUCCACCUAGGUGAGCGUGGUGUUUUGCUUCUGUGCCGCUUUUUAUCUCUUCCAUCUGGUUUUCGAACACUACGAGAUGCGAAUUUUCUCACUGGUGAACUUGAAAAGUGGCGGAAGACCUACAACACUCGGUAUGUUCACAUUGUGGAGGAGAUGCUGAACGAAGCACUAACUACAUAUGAGAAGCCAAACCGUGGCAUGUUCAUGAGGCGUUCCAUGCUGAAAGGUCCCAAGAAAGAUGUCUUUCUACCAACACACCUUUAUGGACAGCUGGUACAGCAUGAGGAAGGCUUGGAGCUGCUGAAGAAAGAGGGUGGCAUACAUGAAUAUUUCUCAGUCAUUCGGUCUCUAGAACUGCGAGAAGACUCAGACAUCUUGAAGUUAAAGACUGCAUUGUGGGCUGUGGGACACAUAGGAUCCUCAGCCUAUGGUGUAAGUGUUUUGGAGGAGGAGAAUGUGGUUCCUGAGCUCAUUCGACUGGCUGAAGAAUGUGGUGUUUUCUCCAUCAGAGGAACUGCUUUCUAUGUGUUGGGACUUGUGGCCUCCAAUCGACGAGGUACUGAUAUACUUGUGGAAUAUGGAUGGGAAUCACAGUGCCGUACUCGAGCAGAGGCCUGGCCUGUGUUGGAUUACCAAGGCUUGACUCCCGAGUCAUUUGGAGAGGCCAUUCGUCUGUCAAAAUCCAGCAGCAUGCCAGUUGAGGUGGGGCGGAUGUCCUCUCAUGGGUCCACUCAUCUGUCCUUCAUCAAAGAAGAGAAUGUUCGGCUGGAUCACAAUGGUGAUCCUGCUCGUGAGGCUGAGAUAGUGUCUGACAGUGGCCUGUCCAUUGCUGUCAGGUCUGAGCACACAUGCUCUGGCAAAGAGAACAACAACAACAACAGCCUUUUUUCAUCAGUGAUGGAACAUGAACUGAAUAUGCCAAGGAGUACAACUUUACCAGGCGAGUCUCUCUCUCUUCAGAAUUUUCCAUCAGAACACACAAGGUCGUUUUCUGAACGACACAUUGGUAAGCAUUGCUUACCUUUGGGGCAGUUAUCAAAGCAAGCUUAUGAACGAGCAUGCAGUAUACAUACAAAACAAGGGCAAAACAGUGUAAUAUUACCACAGAAUAUAGAUAUGAGAUUUCAGGAGGUGGUUUCUGUAGAAGACUCUAGUUGGAAUCAGAACAGCUCUUCAUACCAAACAUGUGAACUUGUGGCUUCACCAGUGAUACAACUCGCUGACUCAGUCGAUGAGCCAGCUACCUCAGAAAUCUGUGAUAACAAAAGCAAAGAAGCUAUUUUUCAUAUUGGAAGUGUAGGGGAGAGUGGCAGUGGUAGCAGCAGCAGUGGCGGUGGGGUGACCGCUCAAAAGGAAGACCACAGCAGCAGCGACAUUUCGCAGCGCAGCAAGAGCCGAGCCAGCAGCUUCAACACUGACUCCACGACCAGCGGUGUUAGCUCAUGCGAGUCCAACAUGGCACAGGGGACAUCUGCAGUUUUAUCUUCUCUCAGCCCUAUUCCUUCCUCUUCUUCUAUCAGCACACUCUCUGCCACACCUGCCAUGAUGCACAUAACCACCACAUCUAGCUCGGUCAGUCACAAUCAUCUUGCCAUGCAGGAGUUGGCUCAUCCAUCAGCAGCACAACGACGUCUCAACAGACUGACUCGUAUCCCCAGUCUGCAUCGCCGCCCAGCCUCCCAAGCAAUUGGGUCAUUGCAGUCGUUGCCGGGCAGUGUUUUCUCCACGUACCGUGAUGUGCUCGGUUAUGCUACUCUUCGGCACAUUCGAAGACAGCGUGCUCACAGCAAUUCGGAUGCUGAAACAGAAGGGAGCAGACUACAUGAGGGUGUGCCUGAAUCCUUUAUCAAGCGCACCAUUAGUAUGGAAUCAGACACGAGUGUGGACAGCAAUAUAUGGCUAAGCAUUCGGCGAAACGUGAGCAGUGCAUCUCUGGCAGAUCCUGACCACAACAAUCAGCAGUUGAUCUCAUCAAGCCUGACAUCAUUCAAACCCUUAUCUUCUCACAACCGAUUUGUUGGCAUCACUCUGCCUGUGGAUGUCAACAUGAUCUUUGAAGUGAUAGAAGGGGAAGACGGAAGAUCUACUGUCGACAAACAGAAAAGUCCAGAACAGAGCCUUGCAGAAAAGCUAGCAGAAGUUAAAGUGUCAGUUCCAGUCCAUAUUCCACCUCUCACAAAAGAAGCAACCUUUGAGCAUAGUAAAGACAUGUGUCUGCUGUGUACAUGGACAAGACAACGAUGCUUCAAGACUGAUGAUGCAGGAAGAGGCUUACGUGACAUUUCAAAUGUAACUCUGAGGUGGAUAGUGCAGAAAGGAAGGGAUUACACAGAUUGAAACUGUUGGCAGCGUCAGAAAGAGAUUACCGUUAAGAGGUGGAAGCAUGAAUGAACAGUCAUCUUCUGCAACACCUGGCAGCCAAACUAGCACCACGAGCUCCGACUCAGCUAGCAAAAAGCUAACAGAGGACAACGAAGAGGGGAGGCGACUCAUCCGCAGUGAAGUUUUACGGCUGAUUGUAAAUCUUAGCAGCUCUGUGGGGCUAAAGGCAUCAGAGCAGGGACUGCUGAGCCUUAAGCAGC